rnacentral:lncRNA from 1 species
GGCGGACGCGCUCUGCGCGUAUUUAUAGCACCGUACUGUGUACUGGCUGCUACAUUCCCCCCCCUUUGAAGGGAACCGUCCCGGGCCCUUAGAGCCUCGUAUACCGCCAGCCUGUGCCUACCUUCGCCUACCCUCGGGCAGUGGGGUGGCCAAGCCCACUUCAUGCGCCUAGCCUUCAGGUUUUUCAGGCACAGAGACAAUCCAGUCGGUUCAGCUACUUUUAUAGUUUUUGUGCGAUAUUCGCUCACUGAGUCGCCACACCCGAAAUACCACUCGAACGUGAUCGGUGGGGGUUGAACCGACGACUUCAGGAUCGUGAUUUUUCACGAGGUCUCGAUACCAAAUGUAGCAGCUGACCGCUGAAAAGGUCUCUCGAGUUGCUGGCGGACGCGCUCUGCGCGUAUUUAUAGCACCGUACUGUGUACUGGCUGCUAC